AGUGAACGCUGGCGGCGUGCCUAAUACAUGCAAGUCGAACGGAGUGGCUAACGGGUGAGUAAUUUAUAGCUAAUCUGCCCUACACUAGAGGACAACAGUUGGAAACGGCUGCUAAUACUCUAUAGUGUAGGUUGAGGCUAUAUUGUAUCAGCUAGUUGGUGAGGUAAUGGCUCACCAAGGCUAUGACGCAUAACUGGGCUGAGAGGAUGAGAAGUCACACUGGAACUGAGAGACGGUCCAGACUCCUUCGGGAGGGAGCAGUAGGGAGUAGUGCUCAAUGGGGGAAACCCUGAAGCAGCAACGCCGCGUGGAGGAUGACACUUUUCGGAGCGUAAACUCCUUUUGUUAGGGAAGCGGUACCUAACGAAUAAGCACCGGCUAACUCCGUGCCAGCAGCCGCGGUAAUUC
rnacentral:rRNA from 1 species